GCAGUCGGACGGUCUGUCGCUGGCACAUCUCUAUGGGUGUGCGAGAGGAAAGUCCGGGCAACACAGGGAGUCCCACUUGCUAAUUUACAAGCAGUCCGCAAGGGUUGAGUAAUGUAGAAGAAAACAACCGCCGCAAGGUAAGGGUGAGAAGGUGGGGUAAGAGCCCACCAGCGGUGUGGCGACACAUCGGCUGUACAUCUUGGGAGUUGCAAGUUCAUGUAAACUACCGCCAUCAGGGUGCCCGCCCGACAGUUCGGUAGAGGGUAGAACGCUUGAGCCAUAGGGUGACCUAUGGACUGGAUAAAUGACAGACGGUUCCUUCGGGAACUACAGAACCCGGCUUAUAGGCUGACUGCUUUC
rnacentral:RNase_P_RNA from 1 species